UUGUUCUUUUAAUUGAAUUAACUGGUUCUCUGUCUGCCAAAACUCGUGACGUCAGACACAACUUCCAUUAACGGUCUCUAGUUCUGUUACGCGCCAGCUCCGUCUUUCGUCGUUAAAACCAAGAUAGAGAUCUGUAAAAAAUUCUCUAUAAUUUGUUGAGCUUAUGUUUAUAUGUUCUACUUCUAAUUAAAGUUCCAGCCAAAAUUCAAUUUAAAAUUCGAUUCUGAAUUCCAGAAAUCCUAAUAGUGAUCAAAUAACACAUGAGGAGAAGCAACUUCUCCGAAGAUGAUUUGAUUUUUAAAAUUACCUUUUGAAGCCUUGAAUAAAGGAAGGUGCGUGCCGAAACCGAUUCAGCUUAACGCGAAGAUUGUGUGUCAUAUAAUUAGCCAGACGGAAACAACAACGUUUGAGCCAGAUCAAAUUCAGUUAGGGUCUAGAGUUGCAAACAUGCACAUCGUCGCUCUCUUCCUUGUGGCUUUAUUCACGGCAGUGUUCGCACAACAGCAAAUAUGUGGCUGUUUCACCCCGUACCCUCAAGGUUCCGUUUCUGUUGGGAGCUGGCAGAAACUGAAUUUUGACAGACCUUCGGAUACCAUUCACGAAAGCAGCCAAGACAGCAAAUACUACAGCACGCAACACCGCCCGACCCAAGGAUACAACAAUCAUGGAUACGGAGUAGCUGAUCCUCCAUCUCCAAAUUGUGGCAUUAACGAAAGGGUGGUUAACAACAAAUGCAGGCCUAUUUAUUAUUAAAUCAGGAAGUUUCCUUCCCAAAAUUCUGAAGCUCGAUCUUAAUAUUGAUAGAGGCAACUUUUUUACUCUAAUCCGGCCCGAUUUAACUGUCAUAUAAACAACUAACGGAGUAGUCUUUACUAUAAAACAUCCUUGUAGAGCAAAAAUAGGAAAAUAUAGUAUAUUUGCUAAUUUUCUUUGUUAACCUGUUAAUAAUUUAUUUUUUUACCCUUUUUUCGCUAUUUGAUAAAAUAAAUAACCAUUUUUUAGGAAAGCUCAAAUUAAUAUGAUGCAAAUAAAAAUAAAUAAUGUAGCAAUGGAAA